AGUCUGGUGCCAGCAGCCGCGGUAAUUCCAGCUCCGCAGGUGUAUAUCUAUGCUGCUGCGGUUAAAAAGCUCGUAGUUGGAUCUGCGUGCUCGGAACUGGUUGGCUCACUGAGUUCAAACUGGUCUCCGGCGCUUUAUUGGCUGGUUUUCCCUUGAUGCUCUUAACCGGGUGUCUUGGGUGGCUAGCACGUUUACUUUGAAAAAAUUAGAGUGCUCAAUACAGGCGUAAAGCCUUGAAUAGUGUGCAUGGAAUAAUAGAAUAGGACCUCGGCUCUAUUUUGUUGGUUUUCGGAACGCGAGGUAAUGAUUAAGAGGGACAGACGGGGGCAUUCGUAUUGCGACGUUAGAGGUGAAAUUCUUGGAUCGUCGCAAGACGGACGACUGCGAAAGCAUUUGCCAAGAAUGUUUUCAUUGAUCAAGAACGAAAGUUAGAGGUUCGAAGGCGAUCAGAUACCCCCCUAGUUCUAACCGUAAACGAUGCCAACUAGCGAUUCGCAGGCGUUAAACAACGACCUUGCGGGCAGCUUCCCGGAAACGAAAGUGUUCGGGUUCCGGGGGAAGUAUGGUUGCAAAGCUGAAACUUAAAGGAAUUGACGGAAGGGCACCACCAGGAGUGGAGCCUGCGGCUUAAUUUGACCCAACACGGGAAAACUCACCCGGCCCGGACACCGUAAGGAUUGACAGAUUGAGAGCUCUUUCUUGAUUCGGUGGGUGGUGGUGCAUGGCCGUUCUUAGUUGGUGGAGCGAUUUGUCUGGUUUAUUCCGAUAACGAACGAGACUCUGGCCUACUAAAUAGUGGGCGGAUUCUUUCUGUCCGCAACACUUCUUAGAGGGACAAGCGGUGUUCAGCCGCACGAGAUUGAGCAAUAACAGGUCUGUGAUGCCCUUAGAUGUCCGGGGCUGCACGCGCGCUACACUGAAGGAAUCAGCGUGCUUUCUGACCUUGCCCGAAAGGGCUGGGUGACCCGAUGAAAAUCCUUCGUGAUUGGGAUAGGGACUUGCAAUUAUUUCCCUUGAACGAGGAAUUCCCAGUAAGUGUGGGUCAUAAGCUCGCGUUGAUUACGUCCCUGCCCUUUGUACACACCGCCCGUCGCUGCCCGGAACUGAGCCGUUUCGAGAAGAACAGGGACCGUCGUUGAAGGGCCUUAACGGGCUUUUCUCUGAUAGAAACUGUU
rnacentral:rRNA from 1 species